ACAAUCAUACAACAUUUCCUUAUUUUUAUAUAUUAACAAGCUCUAGUGUUCAAUUUAUGAAAGAGUGGAAAGCUGCAAAUAAUCUUUCAAGUCGGUGUUUCGAAUAAGCAUCAAUUCACGCUUUGACACAACACGGACACAUUCGAAGAGGUUUGUUUUUACUAUUAAAAAAACCAAGUUAUAGUUAUUCCUUUUUGUUUUUUUAAACAUACGCAUCUUAUUUUUAUUUUUUCAGAGGUACCUAUUUAGUUGUAACGAAAUCGCACUUUGACAACCGCUUUCACAUAGUAGCAUUUGAUGGUCAGAAACUUUUUGAUAUUAACCUGCAAGAUGAUUAUGUGAACGCUAUACAACCGGGUAAAAUAUAUCAAUUUAAUGUUAUGUAUCCAACUUCAAUCGCAGCAAAGACAAAUAGUGUGCAAGGGCAACCAAAGCCCAUUAAAAUGCCUCCAUUUGGUAUGUUCUGUGCGCUCGGAAAAUUGGCUUACACUGCUUUUAAUGAUAUGUUUAAGGUGUCACCCGAAGAACCAUAUCUAGACGUCGGAACUAAUAUACCUCCACCAAAAGCGUAUCUUUGCCAAGGAGACCGCAUAAAGAAACAACUAAUGUCUGAUGGUAAAACUAGAUGUCUUAUCAAGAUAGAUAGCAGGGAAAUGAACCUGCAGUAUGCUGGAUAUGGCAUAAAUGGUGUCCAUUUGGAUAGCUUUGAUGGAUUACCUAUCGAGUAUGAUCCGGACUUAGCAUGGCGCACAUAUACACUCAUACUCCUUAUUGCAGAUUCAAUUACCGGCGCAUGGUAUGGACCAAGAAAUUACAUCAUUGUGGGCGCAAUAUUUUAGUUUUAUAACACCUAGGAAAACAUUUUAAAAUAUCUUAAUUCAUUUAAAAGAAAAUUUAUUAUUUGAUUACAUUUGAUAUAAUCAUGUUUAUUAUUUAUUUUGAUAUAACAUAGAUGUAAGGCAAUCUCUCC
rnacentral:lncRNA from 1 species